rnacentral:rRNA from 1 species
UACGUAGGGUGCAAGCGUUGUCCGGAAUUAUUGGGCGUAAAGAGCUCGUAGGCGGUCUGUCGCGUCUGCUGUGAAAACUCAGGGCUUAACCCUGAGCUUGCAGUGGGUACGGGCAGACUAGAGUGCGGUAGGGGAGACUGGAAUUCCUGGUGUAGCGGUGGAAUGCGCAGAUAUCAGGAGGAACACCAAUGGCGAAGGCAGAUCUCUGGGCCGUAACUGACGCUGGAGGAG